UCACAAAAGAGAAACCAACAGACACAUGAUGAGAAAAAGAAUGCUGAUGACAUCAUUUGCCAACAUGGCAUCUCUAAAGCUAGUCUCUAGUUUCCCCAAGAAAAGGACCAAUAAUAAUUCUCUCUCUCUCUCUCACCAGUGAACUGUUAUUUUCAUACUUCCAACUCAAAGAGUCCUGGAUGCUUCUGGAAAAACCAGCUGGAAACUGCUGGGGCCCAGAACACUACAGCUUCUAAGAACCUGCAUGUAAGAAAGAUACAGCUCUGCCCGUUAAGCUUGAUACCUACUCGUGAAGGAUCAGAGACAAGAUAGGUGGCUGUGGAAUCCUCGAAGGCCACCGUGUCACUCCAAGGCUGGAGAUGUUGGCUGUCCAUGGACCAAGGAACUUGUUACCUGGAUUCCCACCUUGAAUAUCGGUUCUCACUUCUGUGUUGAAUGUUCACUGCAAUGUCCUGGCAGCAGGAUUUACUACACAUGAGUUUUCAGAUGGCAAGUUUAUCGUAUGAUUUAAACCCGACAAGAUCCCAAGUGGCCUCUUUCAAGUCCUUUCAGGUGCUUCCCUGCCCCCGCCAAUGUUUGCUUGCAGUUCAUAUUCACCUAGGCAUCAAAAAGACUAUCUUUACUUCUUCCUGAAUCAGGAGCUAUUUUCAUUUUGUCAAUAGUUGGUCAAUAAAAGUUAAAAGGGAAGAUUUUAGAAAUGA